rnacentral:rRNA from 1 species
CCUACGGUGGCUGCAGUGGGGAAUAUUGGACAAUGGGCGAAAGCCUGAUCCAGCCAUGCCGCGUGUGUGAAGAAGGCCUUCGGGUUGUAAAGCACUUUCAGUGGGGAAGAAAGCCUUGGGGCUAAUACCCUCGAGGAAGGACAUCACCCACAGAAGAAGCACCGGCUAACUCCGUGCCAGCAGCCGCGGUAAUACGGAGGGUGCGAGCGUUAAUCGGAAUUACUGGGCGUAAAGCGCGCGUAGGCGGUCUGAUAAGCCGGUUGUGAAAGCCCCGGGCUCAACCUGGGAACGGCAUCCGGAACUGGCAGGCUAGAGUGCAGGAGAGGAAGGUAGAAUUCCCGGUGUAGCGGUGAAAUGCGUAGAGAUCGGGAGGAAUACCAGUGGCGAAGGCGGCCUUCUGGACUGACACUGACGCUGAGGUGCGAAAGCGUGGGUAGCAAACAGGAUUAGAUACCCUGGUAGUC